AUUGAACGCUGGCGGAAUGCUUUACACAUGCAAGUCGAACGGCAGCACGGGGGCAACCCUGGUGGCGAGUGGCGAACGGGUGAGUAAUACAUCGGAACGUGCCCGGUCGUGGGGGAUAACGUAGCGAAAGUUACGCUAAUACCGCAUACGAUCUGAGGAUGAAAGCGGGGGACCUUCGGGCCUCGCGCGAUCGGAGCGGCCGAUGUCAGAUUAGGUAGUUGGUGGGGUAACGGCCUACCAAGCCGACGAUCUGUAGCUGGUCUGAGAGGACGACCAGCCACACUGGGACUGAGACACGGCCCAGACUCCUACGGGAGGCAGCAGUGGGGAAUUUUGGACAAUGGGCGCAAGCCUGAUCCAGCCAUGCCGCGUGAAGGACGAAGGCCUUCGGGUUGUAAACUGCUUUUGUAUGGAACGAAAAGGCUCUGGCUAAUCCCUGGGGCUCAUGACGGUACCGUAAGAAUAAGCACCGGCUAACUACGUG
rnacentral:rRNA from 1 species